GCACUGCUGAGGAGUCCCAUACUAGGACCAAACGGUCGUCCAGUGC
rfam:Schistosoma haematobium scaffold256_1, whole genome shotgun sequence.